rfam:Nitrospina gracilis 3/211 genomic scaffold, 2190_scaffold1
GGGCCGUUAGCUCAACUGGCAGAGCAACUGACUCUUAAUCAGUAGGUUGAAGGUUCGAUUCCUUCACGGCUCA